rfam:Myotis brandtii contig253989, whole genome shotgun sequence.
GCCGGUGUGGCUCAGUGGAUAGAGCAUCAGUCUGCAGACCGAAGGGUCCUGGGUUUGAUUCCCGUCAAGGGCA